rnacentral:rRNA from 1 species
GAUGAACGCUGGCGGCGUGCCUAAUACAUGCAAGUCGAGCGAACGGACGAGAAGCUUGCUUCUCUGAUGUUAGCGGCGGACGGGUGAGUAACACGUGGAUAACCUACCUAUAAGACUGGGAUAACUUCGGGAAACCGGAGCUAAUACCGGAUAAUAUUUUGAACCGCAUGGUUCAAAAGUGAAAGACGGUCUUGCUGUCACUUAUAGAUGGAUCCGCGCUGCAUUAGCUAGUUGGUAAGGUAACGGCUUACCAAGGCAACGAUGCAUAGCCGACCUGAGAGGGUGAUCGGCGACACUGGAACUGAGACACGGUCCAGACUCCUACGGGAGGCAGCAGUAGGGAAUCUUCCGCAAUGGGCGGAAGCCUGACGGAGCAACGCCGAGUGAGUGAUGAAGGUCUUCGGAUCGUAAAACUCUGUUAUUAGGGAAGAACAUAUGUGUAAGUAACUGUGCACAUCUUGACGGUACCUAAUCAGAAAGCCACGGCUAACUACGUG